UACGUAGGGGCCGAGCGUUGUCCGGAGUUACUGGGCGUAAAGCGCGCGCAGGCGGCGCAUCGCGCCCGGCGUGAAAGCCCCCGGCUCAACCGGGGAGGGUCGUCGGGGACGGGUGCGCUUGAGGACGGCAGGGGCAGGUGGAAUUCCCGGUGUAGUGGUGAAAUGCGCAGAUAUCAGGAAGAACACCCGUGGCGAAGGCGGCUCUCUGGGACGGUACUGACGCUGAGACGCGAAAGCGUGGGGAGCGAACAGG
rnacentral:rRNA from 1 species